rnacentral:rRNA from 1 species
GGGCUGCAGUAUUUUGACUGUACAAAGGUAGCAUAAUCAAUAGUCUCUUAAUUGGUGACUUGUAUGAAAGAUUGGAUGAAAUAUAAACUGUCUCUAAUUGAUUUAUAAAAAUUAAUUUUUUAGUAAAAAAGCUAAAAUAAUUUUAAAAGACGAGAAGACCCUAUAGAGUUUAAUAUUUUAUUUAAUAAUUAUUAAUAUAUAUAAUUUUAAAAAUUAAAAUUAAAUAAAUUAUUUUGUUGGGGUGAUAAAAAAAUUAAAUUAACUUUUUUUGAUUAUAAACAUUAAUUUAUGGUUAAGUGAUCCAUUUAUAGUGAUUAAAAGAAAAAAUUACCUUAGGGAUAACAGCGUAAUUUUUUUUUUUAGUUCAAAUAGGAAAAAAAGUUUGCGACCUCGAUGUUGGAUUAA